GGCGGGGUAGCUCAGCUGGCUAGAGCGUACGACUCAUAAUCGUAAGGU
rnacentral:tRNA from 1 species